rnacentral:lncRNA from 1 species
CAAUAUCUACUUUGCCAGGGAUGAAGGUAGCUCUGGGGAACAUGUACCUAAUAUGGCAACAACUAUUACUCUGACCUUCCCCCAUCCUGUCUCAGGAAUACAGCUGGCAUUGCACGAGAAGAUCUGUAAGGAAGAAUUACGUCAAGAAAAGCAGCAGACACAAGAACAUGGCAGAUUCAGGCAGAGAUGAAGAUGGAGCAGAGAAGCCAAGUCAGACUGCACUUGGUACUUCUCUGGUUGCUUCAAGAAAAUACCUGGUGGAAGCAGGAGGGAUUGUUUUUACAAUCCAUCAUGGCGGCCAGAUGCCACAGAGAGAAGAUCCCAGAGUGUCUGGUCUUGUUACAUCCACAGUCAGGGAGAGAUGAAUGAUGCUAUUCUCCUCCUUUUUAUUCAGUCUGGGAUCUCGGGCCAUAGAAUGGCACCACACACAUUUAAGGUGAGUAUUCCAAGUUCAAUUAACCCACUCUAGAAACUCAUAGCCUU